AGCGAACGCUGGCGGCAGGCCUAAUACAUGCAAGUCGAACGCCCCUUCGGGGGAGUGGCGGACGGGUGAGUAACGCGUGGGAACGUGCCCUUUGGUUCGGAACAACACAGGGAAACUUGUGCUAAUACCGAAUGUGCCCUUCGGGGGAAAGAUUUAUCGCCAUUGGAGCGGCCCGCGUUGGAUUAGGUAGUUGGUGGGGUAAAGGCCUACCAAGCCUACGAUCCAUAGCUGGGCUGAGAGGAUGAUCAGCCACACUGGGACUGAGACACGGCCCAGACUCCUACGGGAGGCAGCAGUAGGGAAUCGUGCGCAAUGGGCGAAAGCCUGACGCAGCCAUGCCGCGUGAAUGGUGAAGGUCUUAGGAUUGUAAAAUUCUUUCACCGGGGAAGAUAAUGACGGUACCCGGAGAAGAAGCCCCGGCUAACUUCGUGCCAGCCGCCGCGGUAAAAC
rnacentral:rRNA from 1 species